rnacentral:rRNA from 1 species
GGAGGGAGCAAGCGUUACUCGGAAUUAUUGGGCGUAAAGGGCGCGUAGGCGAUCUGGCGUGUCCUGUGUGAAAUCCCAGAGCUUAACUCUGGAAGUGCACAGGAAACUGUUUGGAUUAGAGUUCAGGAGAGGAAAGCAGAAUUCCCGGUGUAGCGGUGAAAUGCGUAGAGAUCGGGAGGAAUACCAGUGGCGAAGGCGGCUUUCUGGACUGACACUGACGCUGAGGCGCGAAAGCCAGGGGAGCAAACGGGAUUAGAUACCCCGGUAGUCCUGGCUGUAAACGAUGUGCACUUGGUGUGAGCCGGUUUUCGGUUCGUGCCGAAGUUAACGCAAUAAGUGCACCGCCUGGGGAGUACGGUCGCAAGGCUGAA